AAAGAGGAUGGAUGGUGGCCUAGGGCAUGGCUGAAAAAAGGAGAACAGUUUGGAUGACAAGAUGUUCCGCAGCCACAGGGCUCUACAUACAACAAUAUAUUUUGGCAAUUUGGGCUUGAUUCACCUUCUCAGGCAUGAGGGAUAAAUCUUACUGACACAGGAGGAGUAGUUCCACUGCUGCAGUAGUACUCACACUUAAAGGAGGACAGGAAUCAAAUGAUGUUGAUUGAAACAUGAGUUGUUCCAUCUCUCACUGCCUUUGCAAAAAUUGAUCUGCAAACAGAACGCUGAGGGACUUUGAAUUAAAAAGUAGUAGUAGACUUACUUUGGAAAGGUAACAUGAACUGGAUUAUUUUAAGGGGAAUAUUCUCUUUAAAAAGGGAAAACCAGACAGAAUGUGGUCAGUUUUGCUUUUUUUCCACCCCACUCCCCACCUCAUAUCUUCUGCCAUCACUGCCUACUUUUGUAUACCAGGCCUGCCUCUGUAUACUUGUACAUUUCCAGUGGAAAAUUUUUGUUUACUUGAAAACAGCAAAAUAUCAAUUCUUUUCUUCUCUUUUACUUGGUUUGGAACAGAAGACCUAGGGGAACAAAUGUUUACCUAAGUGGUGGGUACGUUCAAGUAAUGUAAUGCAUGAGCAACGUUUCCAUUACUCACAGAUCUAGUAAAGCUGCUGUCUAAUGCAGCAGAAUACUGAACCAAAGCAGGACUUUAAAAGAGGAGAAACAUCCAUGGACACGUCUGCUGGGAGGAAAAAGAGUUGAGGCUCAGUUCAACAUGACUAGAAAAAGAAAAACAAAGCAGUAGUCUUUUAGUACUGAUAAACACAACGGUGCUAGCAGCACUGCAUUAGAAACAAACAGUAACAUGACAUAAAUUUGAAAACAGGCAGAAUUGGAAGAUACUAAAGAGAGUUGUACAGCUUUAAUGGAAGAGUUUGAACUUUUCUACUCCAGUCCUUGAAAAAUUUUAGAAUCAAUGUGUUGGAUCAAUGAGUUAUAGACAAUAGAAGAAACUCAGCAGGCACAAAAAGACAGG